rnacentral:rRNA from 1 species
GACGAACGCUGGCGGCGCGCCUAACACAUGCAAGUCGAACGAGAGAUGAGGAGCUUGCUCUUCAAAUCGAGUGGCGAACGGGUGAGUAACGCGUGAGGAACCUGCCUCAAAGAGGGGGACAACAGUUGGAAACGACUGCUAAUACCGCAUAAGCCCACGGCUCGGCAUCGAGCAGAGGGAAAAGGAGCAAUCCGCUUUGACAUGGCCUCGCGUCCGAUUAGCUAGUUGGUGAGGUAACGGCCCACCAAGGCGACGAUCGGUAGCCGGACUGAGAGGUUGAACGGCCACAUUGGGACUGAGACACGGCCCAGACUCCUACGGGAGGUAGCAGUGGGGAAUAUUGCACAAUGGGGGAAACCCUGAUGCAUCGACGCCGCGUGGAGGAAGAAGGUCUUCGGAUUGUAAACUCCUGUUGUUGAGGAAGAUAAUGACGGUACUCAACGAGGAAGUGACGGCUAACUACGUGCCAGCAGCCGCGGUAAAACGUAGGUCACAAGCGUUGUCCGGAAUUACUGGGUGUAAAGGGAGCGCACGCGGGAGAACAAGUUGGAAGUGAAAUCCAUGGGCUCAACCCAUGAACUGCUUUCAAAACUGUUUUUCUUGAGUAGUGCAGAGGUAGGCGGAAUUCCCGGUGUAGCGGUGGAAUGCGUAGAUAUCGGGAGGAACACCAGUGGCGAAGGCGGCCUACUGGGCACCAACUGACGCUGAGGCUCGAAAGUGUGGGUAGCAAACAGGAUUAGAUACCCUGGUAGUCCACACCGUAAACGAUGAUUACUAGGUGUUGGAGGAUUGACCCCUUCAGUGCCGCAGUUAACACAAUAAGUAAUCCACCUGGGGAGUACGACCGCAAGGUUGAAACUCAAAGGAAUUGACGGGGGCCCGCACAAGCAGUGGAGUAUGUGGUUUAAUUCGACGCAACGCGAAGAACCUUACCAAGUCUUGACAUCCCUUGACGAUGCUGGAAACAGUAUUUCUCUUCGGAGCAAGGAGACAGGUGGUGCAUGGUUGUCGUCAGCUCGUGUCGUGAGAUGUUGGGUUAAGUCCCGCAACGAGCGCAACCCUUAUGGUCAGUUACUACGCAAGAGGACUCUGGCCAGACUGCCGUUGACAAAACGGAGGAAGGUGGGGAUGACGUCAAAUCAUCAUGCCCUUUAUGACUUGGGCUACACACGUACUACAAUGGCGUUAAACAAAGAGAAGCAAGACCGCGAGGUGGAGCAAAACUCAGAAACAACGUCCCAGUUCGGACUGCAGGCUGCAACUCGCCUGCACGAAAGUCGGAAUUGCUAGUAAUCGUGGAAUCAGCAUGCCACGGUGAAUACGUUCCCGGGCCCU